AAAGAGUUAGUUUAAAAAAAACAGUUAUUUGUCAAAUAAAAAAUACAAAAAAUAUUAAUGUACUUUU
rnacentral:tRNA from 1 species